CUCAGCCCCGGGGGGGUCCGAGGAGCCCGGAGACGCCGUACGGCGUCUCCGGGCUCCUCGGACCCCCCCCGGGGCUGAU
rnacentral:pre_miRNA from 1 species